AACGAACGCUGGCGGCAGGCUUAACACAUGCAAGUCGAACGCCCCGCAAGGGGAGUGGCAGACGGGUGAGUAACACGUGGGAACAUGCCCAAAGGUACGGAAUAUUCUCGGGAAACUGAGAGCAAUACCGUAUGUGCCCGAAAGGGGAAAGAUUUAUCGCCUUUGGAUUGGCCCGCGUCGGAUUAGCUAGUUGGUGGGGUAAAAGCCUACCAAGGCGACGAUCCGUAGCUGGUCUGAGAGGACGACCAGCCACACUGGGACUGAGACACGGCCCAGACUCCUACGGGAGGCAGCAGUGGGGAAUCUUGGGCAAUGGGCGCAAGCCUGAUCCAGCCAUGCCGCGUGGAUGAUGAAGGCCCUAGGGUUGUAAAAUCCUUUCGUUGGGGACGAUAAUGACGGUACCCAAAGAAGAAGCUCCGGCUAACUUCGUG
rnacentral:rRNA from 1 species